AAACUAUCAUGAGGGCAUUGUCUUUGUAAACUUUUGAAUCUAUCCCAUGCUUCAAAUAAUGACUCUCCAUCUGUUUGAGCAAAAUUUGUAAUGCAAUUCCCCAUAU